UAGGGAACAGAAGAGACAUAUCUUCUCCCUCUUUGGAUCAACGCGUUUCUCACAGCGGAAAGGAGCCGGUAGUCCCAAAGGCACAUUCCGUUGAUGUUUCUUCUUCUUCAUAUACGAAACUCUCUCUCUCUCUCUCUCUCUCUCUCCCCUCUCAGUCGUAGCAACCAAAAUCUCUAUUUUCAUCGCAAUUCCUCUUGGGUUUUUGCAUACAAUCUGAGAAUUCAUGUGAAACAGUAGUGGGCGAUGGAAGUGUCUCUUCUCGAUUCGAGGAGAUCUGAAGUGAUUUGGUUUCAUCUGGAGCUCUACAGAUAUUUUAGCAGCAAUGAAGCGGGUUAGAGACGAUGUCUACUCCUCUGGGUCUCAAUUCAAACGACAUUUACCCUCUUCAUGAGGCGAAUCAGCUUGCUUUGGUGCAGAUAUGCGCAAUCUCAAGUACCUCGAAGUGUUGCUGAUGGGGGAGUAAACUCUCAUAAGUUGACAACCGAUGAUGCUUUAUCUUACUUGAAAGAUGUUUCAAGAUCAAGGGGACAAGUAUGAUAUGUUUUUGGAGGUUAUGAAAGACUUUAAGGCACAAAGUUGCAGUGAAUCUUAUAGAAGAGGAUUUACAGAAGUUAGCUUAGGAGGCAAAUGCAGUCAAGAACAUUGUUGACAUCUUGAAGACAGGUAGGGAAGUCAAUCCUAAACGUCUUCAGGGUUUGUUUUUGUCUUUAGCUGAGUUGUGUUCGAAGCUUGGGGAUUGCAGGCUUCUUGUCAUUGGAGGUGUUGGAUCUGCUGGUUAAUGCGCUUACACACAAUAACGCUGAUGUUAGAACUGCAGCGUGCAUUUGCUUUAGAAACGCUCAUGUUAUGCUUCCUUUGGUUCAGUUAUUGCAUGAUCCAUCUUCCUCUGUCCAGAUACCUUAACAUCAUAUUCUGUUAGAGGAUGGCCGUCGGUCCAUUCGCGAGUUGAGUAUAAAGAAAGAAGCCCCAGAAAGACCCAUUUCAAAAAUGACAUCCACGGCGACACGCAACGAACAGGAGCCUACGACGCGUAGGCUGCAUCGACCGCCGAUCAUAGACAGGAAACCUACGCAAGCAAUAGGGUGUCGAUGAGCGCCACACCAACUCCCUGACAUAUAACCACUACGAAGCGGAAAAGGUGAAUCAAAACGAAUAUAAAUAGGAGAGAGCAUUCAAUGAAUAUGGGGGCAGCGAAAUAGAGAGAGAACGGUUAGAGAGAUAAAGUAGAAAGAAUUAUUUCCUAGACUCGUCUUCAAGACAACGUGUUCUUCUUUGUAUUUUUAUCUUCGGCUUUUGCUAAACACUUCAAUAAACGAAACCUUUGGCCCCUUCUUAAUCUCACUCAAUAUUUGUUUAGUCUUCUAAUCCCCUGCUACCGGAUUUAGGAUUCAAUAUUGGCGCCCACCGGACUCGAACCCACGACCACAAGGUUACAUUUGUGAACGUGUGUUCGUUUUGAUGAAUACUUUGUUCGAAAUGAAGGGACAGUCAAAGAUAAUAAUAACUGAAGAAAUGUUAUUUAAUUAUUUAUAUGAUAAAGUUCCAAAUUGCAUUCAUGAAUAUAAGAUAAGGUACACUGAU